ACGAACUGUGCAAACGUUAUUCGGAAUCACUGGGCUUAAAGGGUGCGUAGGCGGCUUAUCAAGUAGGGUGUGAAAGCCCCCGGCUUAACCGGGGAAUUGCGCCCUAAACUGACGAGCUGGAGUGGGACAGGGGUGUGUGGAACUUCCGGUGGAGCGGUGAAAUGUGUUGAUAUCGGAAGGAACGCCGGUGGCGAAAGCGACACACUGGGUCUCAACUGACGCUGAGGCACGAAAGCCAGGGGAGCGAACGGGA
rnacentral:rRNA from 1 species